rnacentral:rRNA from 1 species
UACAGAGGUCUCGAGCGUUAGGCGGAAUCACUGGGCUUAAAGCGUGUGUAGGCGGAUCGGUAAGUACCUUGUGAAAUCCCACAGCUUAACUGUGGAACUGCUUGGUAUACUGCCAGUCUUGAGCCAGCUAGGGGCUACCGGAACAAGUGGUGGAGCGGUGAAAUGCGUAGAUAUCACUUGGAACGCCAAUGGUGAAAACAGGUAGCUGGGGCUGUGCUGACGCUGAGACACGAAAGCCAGGGGAGCGAACGGG